AAAUUGAAGAGUUUGAUCAUGGCUCAGAUUGAACGCUGGCGGCAGGCCUAACACAUGCAAGUCGAGCGGAAACGAGUUAUYAGAACCUUCGGGGGACGAUAACGGCGUCGAGCGGCGGACGGGUGAGUAAUGCCUAGGAAAUUGCCCUGAUGUGGGGGAUAACCAUUGGAAACGAUGGCUAAUACCGCAUGAUGCCUACGGGCCAAAGAGGGGGAC
rnacentral:rRNA from 1 species